rnacentral:rRNA from 1 species
CCCCGCUCCCCCUGGUUUUCUGCUCUCCCUCCCGAAACCCCCCCGAGCCGCUCCCGUCUCUCCCAUCGCGCAAACAACUCUAGGGUUCCUUGAGCCGCCGCCGCACCGGAGCUCCUCGACCAGCCCCACCUCAUGCCGCUCCACCCACCGCUUCUCCCUCCGCCCGCGCCGCUCUCUUCCCCGCCGGCGCUGCUCACCACGAGUUGGGAGGCCCCAGAUCGUCUCGAGCAAGUCAGCAGGGCGGUGGCCAGAUCCACCACGGCAACAUCUCGUCCAGAUGGGCCGCGCCGGGAGAGGUAGAUCGAGGCGGCGGGCACCGUGUGCGUCUUGUCUCUUGGGACGCCGCUCCGACCGGAUCCGGCGAGGAGGCAGCCUCCGUCUGCGGCAACGAGGGCAGCGGCCGGCUGCGCGAGAGGUCGAUCUGAUUGUGCCUCCAUGACGGCAUCGUGAUGCCCACCGCCGACGGCGCUGCGUCGCGACCAAAGGGGCACCCGGCCACGGCCGGGGACUCACUGCAGUUGAAGCACGCCAUCUCGCCACCAUGUAUGUUGUGUGUUCUUGUGCUGCAGGUCCUUGGGGUUGGGUGUUCUUGUCGCCACCAUGUUCAUGCAGGCACGAAUUGGACUGAGAAAUGCUAACAGAGGAGGAGAAGACCAUGCAAGUCCUUGGGGUUGGGUGCGGCAACUCGCGGCUCGAAGACAAUCUUUUGUGGUGGGGCGUCGCUGCCGGCGGCGGCACCUGCAUAGACCGUCUCGCUGGGAACGAAGAGAUGCUCCCCUGAUUUGGAGCUGUAGAAAGGAGGUGGUUGUAGACACAAAGUGGGGACACACAACUCCCAGACAUAAUAUUCUUUAUCUUGGCUCGUUGUUUGGGGAUGGACGCAUCAAUCUGAUCGCGCUCUCCUCCAUGCCAAACGGAUCCUUGGUUCGGAGGUGCGCGGCGCCGACGAUGACAACCUUUCUAUCGACGCAAGGGCAGCAGGACCUCAUGACGCUGUUGAUGCCACCACCAUGCACAGGGUUGAUGCAAGUGCGAUCACUAAUGGGGAGAACAUAAAACUUCAAUUGAGGGCACUGUGAUUCUCUAGCUACAUGUAUCAUAGCUUCUGCAGGAGGGCGUCACCUGCGGCAUCACUUGCAUCGACCUCUCACCGAUCACCGUCCCGAGGAUGCACGACAGACUGGCGGAGCAGGGCACCAGUGAUUGUUUCACCAAUUUGCUCGACUCAUUGUUCCCUUCCUCUGUCCACGCAAUGUUGCCCAUUGUUGCUAAGUUGUUAAUUCAUCAGGCCCAUUAUUGCGGCUACAUAGUCUGUUCAUCUUGCCUGCCUUCUUAGGAGAAACCAAUUUACUGAAGGUUGGCAAUUCCGAAGUUAUUGCCUUUCUACUUCAAACUGAAAUAAUUCCUCUUUGUCUUUAAUAUGGAGAUGGGCACUGAACUUUAAAAAACAGUAUGAACUCAACCCCUUCUGUAAAUCAAAUAUUUCAUUUGCGGGGACGACGUGGGGCUCAUGUCGAGCACUUCAUCUGCAAUGGGUGUGGCCUUCUCCGUCUGCCAAACAUGCUACAAGUACGAGCACCAUGAGGGAACUGCCUGGAGUGCAAGACCCGCCACAAGCUCCUCAAGGGUCAGUCAGCCUCCACCCACGGCCGAAGGCACUUGCAGAUGUGAAGAAUAUCCAUGUCCGAUUACAUCGCCAGGAAGCAAAAACCAUGAGAGCCCACACUAAUCAUCAAGGACUAUUUACAUGCCUAUAAUUAGGCCCACCAGUUUGGAUGGCAAACAAUUGCAGCUGCGAAGAAUAGGAUAUCUUCUCGAUCUCAGGGAUUUUUGAAACGAGCAGAAGAUUAGUAACUUCUACGACAUCAAAGAUCUGACCUUUUAGAGUAUGCACCAUAUUGAUUUACUUAUUGAUUUGUUCACACUAUAUCAGAUUUGUCUUGAACGUGAUACUUUAUUGACUGUACUGGACAUGGGAAGUUAACUGUUUUAAUUAUAUAGGAUUAGUCUGCACCAAUUGCUGCAUAAGUUCUCCUUGAUACCAAUUUACAUACUUGUGCUACUAGGCCUUUGGUCAGUUUGCAACUGGUAUUUUAGACAUGUACGAGUAUUCUCAUGGUAUUUCUAUAUGUUUUAAUUAGUACCAGAUGGAAUUUGCGAAUUAGUCUUACAAAGAGAAGAGAAAAGGAAACAUUAUUCACGAGUUUGCAGGAAUAUGGAAACUCAAGGUAGUCUGUUAGCAUAAGUAAAAAAUGUUUUUCAUUUUAUUUCUUGGUUCGACCAAAUUAUAUUUUAUCCGAACGUAUGGAUGAUCGACACAAUGGACGUACGUAGUUUCUGGUUAGCACUACUCGGAUAACAAUUAUGCCUACUAAUAUCAUUUUUGUGCAUUGUUUGGUCUUAUGCAUUUUAGUUAAAUACAUCCUUUGUGACGAAUAAUGAUUUUUGAGCAUACUAUCUUCUUUUCAUGUGGGGAGAUCGCUGAUAGAAAAGAAAAUUGUGUUUCUGAUAGGUUAUGCUUAUUUCUAAGUGCUUCCAAUUUCGAACUACUAGGUAUGCAGCCUUAGAUGAACAACUACCUCUUUAUUUGCUUGAGGAUGGUUUGAUUGUGCAAUUAAGACUACAUAAUUUCACUUUUCAUUUAUAUUUAUUGGUGAGGGCGAGCUGGCAGCGGCAUGGCGCGCUGGUGCGCGUGACCGCGGGUUUGGCCAGGGUGCGAGCCGAUCUGGCAUGUGCGCUGGCGAAGUAAGGCGUAGAGGUGCUCCGGCCGGCUGGGUGCGUUGGUCCGUGGCGGAGGUGCGAGGUGGGCGUGGAUCUGGCGCCUAGCAUGCGCGAGGGAGGACAUAUGGGCGUUGUGCGUUUCUUCGCGGCGGGUGGUGUGACUGUGCUGCUCUGCAGAUUGAUGACGUUGUUCUCCUGGUUUCGUGGAUCUGCAGCGGGGUAGCCGGUGGUUGCGGCGCCAGAGAAUGCUGGGGCAGCGGCCUCGGGCUGAUGGCUGCUAUGGUAGGGGCUGCUGCACUGGCUCAGGAUGGUGGAUUUGGAGCGAUGCACUCAGAUCUGACCCUGGCAACCGCGUUGUUUCUAUGUCGCAUGAGUUGCUGCAGCUGGUCGUCGCGUGAGGGCUAUGCCGGCUGACGGCAGGGGGGUGCCCUACACAAUGUGCUUGGCUCUGAUGGUCUGGGUAUCGUUGCGUGACCAGAUUUGCAAGCAAGCUCACUGAUAGGAGAUCAGGGACUCGGGCGAAAGCUCCGUGACCUUCUUAGAGGCAUAGUCGUAGACAUCUUCCUAUCCUUUCAUGUGCUUGGGUUCUCCGGGUGAGAACCUAAACUCCAGUUUUCUGGAGUGGGUGGCGGCGGCGUUUACGUCGUAACCAUCUUCAGAGGCGUUGCCUUGGAGGGCCAGCCUUUGGAUGUCGUGUGGGGCUCUUUCGUUUUCAAGGGAGGUGUAUGUCGGGGCUGCGGCUCCGGGAUCUUCUAUUAAGUGUCGAGGCUGCGGCCUCGGGCAGUACUGCGACGACAGCUCCAAGAGGUAGGGAUGCUUGUCGGCAUGGCUUGGGUGAGCACCUUGAAGUGCGGAAGCAGCAAGGUUGUCAGCUCCGUCAAUGCGCCCCAGUCGGGACUGUUGGACGACAUGUUGGGGCAGCGGCCCAGGAUGUGGUGCAGCGUUCGUGGUCUAUGUGCGGUUGGCCUGAGCAGCGUGAGCUGCGGGUAGCUGUAUCGUUCGGCGUAGUGCCGGCCAGGUUGUCGCUCAUCCAGGUUGCCGACCGGGAAGAGGUGUAGUGCCGGCCAAGACGAGAACAAGGGGAAGCUGCUUGGUUGUCUGUGUUCAUCAAAGGUGCUCUCUCUUUUCCAUCUUUCUUUUUAUUUACUUAAUCCUAGAUGGGUGACUACUAAUUUCCAUGUCUACUGGGAGGAAGAAGGUUGGCGGACGUAUCUUUGUGACUAUGUCAUUCACGUGCUUUGUUUCAACUCAUAAAGUGGAUCCUUUUUAAGCUAUAUCAAAUCAUAAGACAUAAUUUUCAGUUGAUUUUUUUCUUCUAAUUCCCAGUUUAUUGCUUCACAUAGACUAUUACAUAUUUAUGCUAGCCAAUUCGAAGCUUUGUCCCAAGGGCAAGCAUACCGUUGAAAAAAUAAAUACAUGUACGACAGAUCAGCCAGCAACUUGUUGAUCUGUGAUUCUUUGAAAUUUGAUGCUUAUAACUGUUUAUAAGUCAGUAUUGUUCAGAGCCAAAGAUAAGUAACAAUCUAUUUGGUUAAGUUGAACACUUUCAGAUCAGGAGUAGUAGAAAUUCUUAAGGGCAUUGGGAUAUUGAACUGCAGAUAGCUUCGGCAGGUUUGUUAGGCUAAUAUAAAGUAGGGACCUUUGCUACAUAAUGAUACAAAGAUGAUACCGAAGGUUGUUUUGCAACUAGCAAGUUUCAAGGUCACAUGGAUGCUGACAGCUCUCAGGUGUAUGGCCUAUUUGUUGCUGGGUAUUGUUGCCUUUCUUCCUGCGGAGGAUCCUGAGUUGAUGCAUAUAUUGGCUCAAAAAGUAACUAGGCUCUGAAGUGCAGAUUGACAAGAGCCAUCCAGGGGGCCAGGGCGAUUAGAUGCCCAUCACUCACGGCGGCAAGAAGUUCCGUGUCGAGUUGAUGAACCAGCACCAGCUGGGAGCCCGGAUGAAGAAGGUUGUCCCCGCGGAGAAAAAGGAGAAGUGAUGAGAUGUUUUUGACAGCUAAUGGAUGAUCUUAUCUUACUCUGUGAAUUUUUGUUUUGGUCGAUUUAGAAACCUUGUUUGAUGUCUGAAGAUCCCUUUUUGCCCACUGUUCAAACCAUCUCUUCAUUUUUGUGUAAAUGGUAACAAUACACUUCAAACAAUUAAGUUGUCAUCCCAAAAAAUAUUUUGUAAAAGGAUGUACUUAUCGCCUCAAUAAUCC